GCAUAUCAAUAAGCGGAGGAAAAAGAAACCAACAGGGAUUGCCCUAGUAACGGCGAGUGAAGCGGCAACAGCUCAAAUUUGAAAUCUGGCUCUUUCAGAGUCCGAGUUGUAAUUUGUAGAGGGCGCUUUGGCUUUGGCAGCGGUCCAAGUUCCUUGGAACAGGACGUCACAGAGGGUGAGAAUCCCGUACGUGGUCGCUAGCUAUUGCCGUGUAAAGCCCCUUCGACGAGUCGAGUUGUUUGGGAAUGCAGCUCUAAAUGGGAGGUAAAUUUCUUCUAAAGCUAAAUAUUGGCCAGAGACCGAUAGCGCACAAGUAGAGUGAUCGAAAGAUGAAAAGCACUUUGGAAAGAGAGUCAAACAGCACGUGAAAUUGUUGAAAGGGAAGCGCUUGCAGCCAGACUUGCUUGCAGUUGCUCAUCCGGGCUCUUGCCCGGUGCACUCUUCUGCAGGCAGGCCAGCAUCAGUUUGGGCGGUGGGAUAAAGGUCUCUGUCAUGUACCUCUCUUCGGGGAGGCCUUAUAGGGGAGGCGACAUACCACCAGCCUAGACUGAGGUCCGCGCAUCUGCUAGGAUGCUGGCGUAAUGGCUGUAAGCGGCCCGUCUUGAAACACGGACCAAGGAGUCUAACAUCUAUGCGAGUGUUUGGGUGUCAAGCCCGAGCGCGUAAUGAAAGUGAACGGAGGUGGGAACCCGCAAGGGCGCACCAUCGACCGAUCCUGAAGUUUACGGAAGGAUUUGAGUAAGAGCAUGGCUGUUGGGACCCGAAAGAUGGUGAACUAUGCUUGAAUAGGGUGAAGCCAGAGGAAACUCUGGUGGAGGCUCGCAGCGGUUCUGACGUGCAAAUCGAUCGUCAAAUUUGGGCAUAGGGGCGAAAGACUAAUCGAACUAUCUAGUAGCUGGGUUCCUGCCGAAG
rnacentral:rRNA from 1 species